rnacentral:rRNA from 1 species
AAGUAGGGGAUCGCAAGACCUUGCGCUUUUUGAGCGGCCGAUGCCUGAUUAGCUAGUUGGUGGGGUAAGGGCCUACCAAGGCGACGAUCAGUAGUUGGUCUGAGAGGACGACCAGCCACACUGGGACUGAGACACGGCCCAGACUCCUACGGGAGGCAGCAGUGGGGAAUUUUGGACAAUGGGCGGAAGCCUGAUCCAGCAAUGCCGCGUGAGUGAAGAAGGCCUUCGGGUUGUAAAGCUCUUUCAGUCGAGAAGAAAAGGUUGCGACUAAUAAUCGCAACUUAUGACGGUAUCGACAGAAGAAGCACCGGCUAACUACGUGCCAGCAGCCGCGGUAAUACGUAGGGUGCGAGCGUUAAUCGGAAUUACUGGGCGUAAAGGGUGCGCAGGCGGCUCUGUAAGUCAGAUGUGAAAUCCCCGGGCUUAACCUGGGAAUUGCGUUUGAAACUACAAAUCUAGAGU